AAUGCUUUACGAAAAUCAAAAGAGAGAUUUUCAAAUAACUAUUGUUGUGGUUUUCAGUUUUUUCAGCACAUUUGUGCUGGCGCUCCUAACAAUUCGUGUUGUAAUUUCGUUUACUAUUAAGACCAAAAAUCAUGGUAGCGUAAAAAAAAUUAUAAAUUUAAAGCCACAAAGACGUAAAUAAUCAAUAGACUGGCAACAAAAAUAUUGCUUGUUUUUUUCUUAUAAGGAUGGAAUAGAAAAGACCACAGGGUGGAUAAGUACAAAUGUCAUCGAAGAAGAAUUGAUGCUAUUUGCAUAAUGUAAUGUUGGAGCAAAAAUUAGGUUGGAAUCUGUAGAGAAAAAUAAAUUGGCAACUCUGAUCCAUUGUUUCUUUAGGUCGGAGUAUGAAAGGAGUGCGCAAAGAUUUACUCCGCCGAAUCAGAGAGUAAGGAAUUUAGAGGGGAGUGACUGACAUCUACUUAAGCACGAUGGACUUUGAUAAUUGAAGGAAUUAUGCAGUUAUAACAAAAUAAGAAUUGUUUUAAUACCUAUAUAAAUUAACAAUAUUUCACACUUGUUAUAAUUUGCACAUAUGGAUAAAUUUAAAUUAACCUGUUAUCAGUUUUAUUUCUGUAUCUCUCUGUAUGAAAUAUAUUAAUAAGUAUGUACAUAUGUACUUAUGUGUA